UCGGCUAUUGAAGAGUAAACAUCUUUCAGCACAAAAAAAAAAAAAAAACCUUCACAAACUUUUUUGAUAACCUGCUUCCGUAAACAGGCUAUACACGAAAAUGUGUAAUCCUUGCUUGCGUUCAAUGCCUGGCACCUGUUGCGGCCCAACAGGUGGGCUGGGCCCAUGCGGCUUCUGCGGGCCCUACAAUGGACAGUGGUUUAGGGCAGUCAACCACUGCUGCGGUCCAAUAGGGCCAUAUGGAUGUUGCUCCUGCUAUGGACCCUUUGGUGGCCACUGCUAGCCUGGUUAGAAGGAAAGUAGGUUUCAAAAACUGGUCGAGG
rnacentral:sRNA from 1 species